rnacentral:misc_RNA from 1 species
GUCAAGAACAAUAUUGAACUGGUUUGUAUUUCACUCAUACUUUUGUAUAUAUGUCCAUUUUUAUCUAUUCAUAUUUAUUAGCAUACCACUUGGAGUAAGAGUGAACUUGUUUUUGCUUUACCAAAAAUUUAAAAACAUGGGCAUCUAUGGUUGGUGGUAGAUUGACGGUGAUAUUGUUACAGAAUGAAAGCAUUUUUUCUUUGUUUUUUUAAUCUUCUUUAAAUUUCUUGAAUGUUGACUUAAUUGUGCACGCCGGUUGUUACCUAAUUAUUAUCAUUUUAAGGUUUACCUUGAAAGUUACGUCUUUGUCGGCUGAUGAUUAAAAAGGGAUGCAUGCCUGUGGUGUGGUGCAUGGUGAUUAUAGGUUUUCAUCUUAAGUUAAUUCUGCAAGUUUGAAUUGUUAGGCCUUCUGGUGAAAUCAAUAAUGAAA